CAACAGGGAUUGCCCUAGUAACGGCGAGUGAAGCGGCAACAGCUCAAAUUUGAAAGCUAGCCUUCGGGUUCGCAUUGUAAUUUGUAGAGGAUGAUUUGGGGAAGCCGCCUGUCUAAGUUCCUUGGAACAGGACGUCAUAGAGGGUGAGAAUCCCGUAUGUGACAGGAAAUGGCACCCUAUGUAAAUCUCCUUCGACGAGUCGAGUUGUUUGGGAAUGCAGCUCUAAAUGGGAGGUAAAUUUCUUCUAAAGCUAAAUAUUGGCGAGAGACCGAUAGCGCACAAGUAGAGUGAUCGAAAGAUGAAAAGCACUUUGGAAAGAGAGUUAAAAAGCACGUGAAAUUGUUGAAAGGGAAGCGCUUGCAAUCCAGACUUGUUUAAACUGUUCGGCCGGUCUUCUGACCGGUUUACUCAGUUUGGACAGGCCAGCAUCAGUUUCGGCGGCCGGAUAAAGGCUCUGGGAAUGUGGCCUCCACUUCGGUGGAGGUGUUAUAGCCCAGGGUGUAAUACGGCCAGCCGGGACUGAGGUCCGCGCUUCGGC
rnacentral:rRNA from 1 species